rnacentral:rRNA from 1 species
UACGUAGGUGGCGAGCGUUGUCCGGAUUUAUUGGGCGUAAAGAGCGUGUAGGCGGCCAGGUAGGUCCGUUGUGAAAACUCGAGGCUCAACCUCGAGACGUCGGCGGAAACCCUCUGGCUAGAGUCCGGAAGAGGAGAGUGGAAUUCCUGGUGUAGCGGUGAAAUGCGCAGAUAUCAGGAAGAACACCCGUGGCGAAGGCGGCUCUCUGGGACGGUACUGACGCUGAGACGCGAAAGCGUGGGGAGCAAACAGG